UGGUAGUGUAUUGGACAACCAUGGCAUUCACGGGCUAUCGGGGGAUUAGGGUUCGAUUCCGGAGAGGGAGCCUGAUAAACGGCUACCACUUCUACGGAAGGCAGCAGGCGCGAAAAUUAUCCAAUCCUGAUUCAGGGAGGUAGUGAAAGAAAUAAUGAACUAGGAUUUAUCCUGGGAUCACAAUGGGCUUGAUUUGCAAACACUUAGCGAGGAACAAUUGGAGGGCAAGUCUGGUGCCAGCAGCCGCGGUAAUUCCAGCUCCAAUAGAGUAUAUAAACGUUCCUGCAGUUAUUCGAUGCUCGUAGUUGGAUUUCUGAGGUUGAGACGGGAGGGUGGCUAUGGCCAUCGCCCGACUCUUUCCUCAUCCACCUGUUUGCGGAGUCCGGGAUUGAUUUCUCGGCUUCGGGCGCAGUAUCUUACCAUUUCAAUAUUCGUAGUCUUCAUCGAUUAUGUUGUUUCUUUGAGCAAAUUAUAGUGUUUCAGGCAGGCGUGCGCCGGAAUACAUUAGCAUGGUAUAAACGAAUUGGACCGUGGGCCCGUAACUGGGCUUCUCCUUAUUGUUGGUUUGAAGGACACGGAGAUGGUUAAUAGGGACAGCGUUUAUUUCACAAGGAGGCAUUAGUAUUUAAUUUCCAGAGGUGAAAUUCUUUGAAAUAUUAAAGACUAACUUAUGCGAAAGCAUCGUUUGCCAAUGAUGUUUUCAUUAAUCAUUGAACGAAAGUUAGGGGAUCAAAGACGAUCAGA
rnacentral:rRNA from 1 species